rnacentral:lncRNA from 1 species
AAACCCAAUAACCCCUCAUCUCUAAAAUUCACCCUAAUUUCCUCUUUUUAAAAGGGGACAUUUCCAAAACCUAAACUUAAUUCUAGAUCCCUUCCCAUAUAAAAAGCUAAGAAAACUGCAGCCAUUCACCCCCAUUUCCAAAAGUUUCAGCCAUUCUCAAAAUUGAAAAAUCAACCAAAGAAGAACAUUCCCCAAAAGAAAAGGAAAGAAAAACGGCAAAAAAACCCCAAUUCCAAAAAAAUAAAAAAAGAACCCAGCGCCUCCCCUUCGGAUUUUCAGAAAUCUUCUCUGAAAAUUGAAAAGGAAAACAAUAACACACAAAAAUAUAAGGUUGAAUAAGAGAUAGAAAGCACGUGGAUUUGUUAUUUUCCGGGAAAAGACGAACAUAAGUACCGUCCUUCAAAUUUUGGUUUUAAAAUGGAGGCCAUCUUCGAGGUUUCUGGUUCAUGCUCAUGAGCAUGAAGCAACUGUAUAUGUGCACUUGAUUUGGAGCUCUAUUGUUAUUUGAUAUAAAAGGAAGAUUCGUCAAAGGUCUAUUCUUUUCCUUUCCUCUGAUUUACUCCCAUGAGUUGUUUAUGUUUGUUUACAAUUCAUACCUUAAUUGUCAUUUUGUGAAUGACUUGUGACUCCUGCAAAUGUGUUGCUUUAUGGGAGUUCCUUUCAUGAAUUAAUGGAUUUCAGAGAAUACAUAGAGGACUUUCUCUCUAUCAUUGUAUUGGAACUCAUUGUGGAAGAAAAGUGAGUAGAUUAUAAGCGGGCUUACAUUUUCAUGCAAUUUUUUUGUUUUUAUCUUCUGAUAGCACAAAAACUACACUAUUAUCCUCUUGGUUUACAAGUGAGUCUUUGCUUUUGAUCUCAUCUUCUUUUGCGUCAAUGAACCUUCUCUAUGUCUAAUGUAUGGGAGUUUAUCUACUUAAAAGCUUAAUCGGGAUGGUAAUUGCUGCUUUGGUUAGAGUUCAAGGUUUCUUAUUUCCCGCCUAGAGUAUAUUCUAUCUUCUUGCUUAGAGUUCCACGCUAAAAUUAUCUUCAGUAGGCCCAAG